AAAUCAACAGAAGCAUCAUCUAGAUUGUUGGAGCCACACUGUGGAGCACCACAGUCUCAACAGUGAGCCCAGGUCCAAACCCAAAAAGCACACCCCAUUCCAGCCCUUCUCCAGUAGAUUGAAGCCCAUCCUCAGCAGAUUUCUUUCUCAUCUCAUCCAGAAUAAA